CCUACGGGCGGCUGCAGUGGGGAAUAUUGGACAAUGGGCGAAAGCCUGAUCCAGCCAUGCCGCGUGUGUGAAGAAGGCCUUCGGGUUGUAAAGCACUUUCAGUGGGGAAGAAAGCCUUGGGGCUAAUACCCUCGAGGAAGGACAUCACCCACAGAAGAAGCACCGGCUAACUCCGUGCCAGCAGCCGCGGUAAUACGGAGGGUGCGAGCGUUAAUCGGAAUUACUGGGCGUAAAGCGCGCGUAGGCGGUCUGAUAAGCCGGUUGGGAAAGCCCCGGGCUCAACCUGGGAACGGCAUCCGGAACUGUCAGGCUAGAGUGCAGGAGAGGAAGGUAGAAUUCCCGGUGUAGCGGUGAAAUGCGUAGAGAUCGGGAGGAAUACCAGUGGCGAAGGCGGCCUUCUGGACUGACACUGACGCUGAGGUGCGAAAGCGUGGGUAGCAAACAGGAUUAGAUACCCCGGUAGUC
rnacentral:rRNA from 1 species